rnacentral:lncRNA from 1 species
UAUUUUCUCCGGGACGCUAAAACAGAAAGCGGGAAAAACUAAAAUAAUUCUAUCAUUUUUCUUCUAAGCAACAUAAAAAGAAAGCUCAAAACAGAGGUAUGUGACUCUUUGAUUCAUCCGUCUCAUGGUCAUCAAAAGAAAUCCGUCAAUGGGAUUGAUCAAGUCCUUAUGAAAAAAUCUUCUCGAAUCGCAAGAGAGAACGGAGAAUUUUCGAAUAGCCACUAAGUCACCUCAAUGGGGAUAUGUAUCUC